GCUAGGCCAUUAACCAGACAGUAAAAUAACACACUGUCCGCCAGAGAACUACAAGCGAAAAGCUUAAAACUCAAAGGACUUGGCGGUGUCCCACAACAGACUAGAGGAGCCUGUCCUAUAACCCGAUACCCCCCGUUCUACCCAACCUCCUGUUGCACCACCACCUCAGCCUAUAUACCGCCGUCGUCAGUUUACAUUAUGAAAAUAAAAAAGUAAACAAAACAGCCUCCCGCUAACACGUCAGGUCGAGGUGUAGCUAAUCAGAAGGAAGAGAUGGGCUACAUUUUCCCACCAGAGAACACACGAAUGGCAACAUGAAAAUUUGCCUGAAGGCGGAUUUAGUAGUAAAAUAAGCAAGCAUGCUAAUUUUAACCCCCUGCUCUGGGACGCGUACACACCGCCCGUCACCCUCUUCAAAUUAAUUACAAACCACCCAUAAAUAAUAACUAAACACAUCAAAGAAGAGACAAGUC
rnacentral:rRNA from 1 species